GUUCCUGUAGUUUAGUGGUUAGCACAUUUGCUUUACACACAAAAGGUCUCUGGUUUGAAACCAGACAGAAAUG
rfam:Poecilia formosa, whole genome shotgun sequence.